rnacentral:rRNA from 1 species
AUUGAACGCUGGCGGCAUGCCUUACACAUGCAAGUCGAACGGCAGCGCGGGAGCAAUCCUGGCGGCGAGUGACGAACGGGUGAGUAAUACAUCGGAACGUGCCCGAGAGUGGGGGAUAACGAGGCGAAAGCUUUGCUAAUACCGCAUACGAUCUCAGGAUGAAAGCAGGGGACCGCAAGGCCUUGCGCUCACGGAGCGGCCGAUGGCAGAUUAGGUAGUUGGUGGGAUAAAAGCUUACCAAGCCGACGAUCUGUAGCGGGUCUGAGAGGACGACCAGCAAGCCUGGGACUGAGACACGGCCCCGACUCCUCCGGGGGGAAGAAGUGGGGAAUUUUGGGCAAUGGGCGCAAGCCUGAUCCAGCCAUGCCGGGUGCAGGAUGAAGGCCUUCGGGUUGUAAACUGCUUUUGUACGGAACGAAAAGACUUCUCCUAAUAAAGGGGGUCCAUGACGGUACCGUAAGAAGAAGCACCGGCUAACUACGUGCCAGCCGCCGCCGUAAAAC